rnacentral:tRNA from 1 species
AGCCCGGUGGUGUAGCGGCCAAGCAUGGCGGGCUUUGGCCCCGCCGACAGGAGUUCGAAUCUCCUCCGGGCUA